GAAGGCUCUGUAGGGAAGGAACUGGCUCUGGGUGUUUUCCCUGCAUUUCUCUUCUUUCGUUUCUUAAAAGAGCAUAAAUAAUUAAAGUUUGGCAGGGAGGAAAAGCUUUCUUGCAGAACUGUAGUGGCAAUAAAUGAAAUGACUCAGAAUCCCUUCCCCAGUCAGCUUUUACGAGAGCUGCCAGACAGUGUCUGUUCACGUUCUCCAGAUACCAGGGGCGCCCUGACAAAGUUAAGGUCAAGUUAGUGUCUUAUCUUGGGUGACUCAAAAUCACCGCAUCGCGUCCUGGCGCUGUGCGGAAAGCUCUUUCUCGCGGAGCGGCUGGCUGCGCCCCGAAGGCCUGGUGCGCUCCCUGCGUUUCGGGUGGGGCCGCGCAGGCAAGGACAAGGCCACAGAGUCGGGGUCUUCACGUUGCCCCCCAGCGGUCCCGGAAAAAGCGCUGUCCCUAUACCAAGUACCAGAUCCGCGAACUGGAACGCGAGUUUUUCUUUAACGUGUACAUAAACAAAGAGAAAAGACUUCAACUCUCUCGGAUGCUCAACCUCACUGACCGGCAAGUCAAAAUCUGGUUCCAGAAUCGCAGGAUGAAAGAAAAGAAACUGAACAGAGACCGUCUGCAGUAUUUCACUGGAAACCCCUUAUUUUGAGAGCUCCAGGAAGCGCCCUCACCCCAGCCCCACUCACCCACCCUCCUUCCCACCAGCCUGCUCUCCGCAGGCCCACUGUCCUUGGGUUUAAUGACGUCUCUUCUCUGUGGAACUUCACGAUUCCUUCCCACGGUCAACUCGGGACCUCCCAGCGACCACUGCAGCCUGCGGACGAGGCCGGGACUUGGCCGAGCGGAUCCUAAUAAGGGGAAAAUGGGGCCUGGAGAUCCACACGAGGGCGCGCUCACGUUCCAGAAGCCGCGUUUGACCAAGAGGCCGCGGUACCUUGUCUGUCCAACACUGGAUUCUAAUAGGCGACCUCAACCCCUUAGAAACAGGCGGCAGCUAAGAGGAAAUCAAGUCUGAUACACCAACCAGCAAUUGGCUCACUGCAAAGAGUGGCAGAAAGAAGAGGUGCCCUUACACUAAGCACCAAACGCUGGAAUUAGAAAAAGAGUUCUUGUUCAAUAUGUACCUCACCCGCGAGCGCCGCCUAGAGAUCAGUAAGAGCGUUAACCUCACCGACAGGCAGGUCAAGAUUUGGUUUCAAAACCGCCGAAUGAAACUCAAGAAGAUGAGCCGAGAGAACCGGAUCCGAGAACUGACCGCCAACCUCACGUUUUCUUAGGUCUGAGGCCGG
rnacentral:lncRNA from 10 species